rnacentral:rRNA from 1 species
UACGGAGGGAGCUAGCGUUAUUCGGAAUUACUGGGCGUAAAGCGUACGUAGGCGGCUUUGUAAGUAAGAGGUGAAAGCCCGGAGCUCAACUCCGGAACUGCCUUUUAGACUGCAUCGCUUGAAUCCAGGAGAGGUGAGUGGAAUUCCGAGUGUAGAGGUGAAAUUCGUAGAUAUUCGGAAGAACACCAGUGGCGAAGGCGGCUCACUGGCCCGAUACUGACGCUGAGGCACGAAAGCGUGGGGAGCAAACAGG